AUGACCACCGGAGCAUCUCACAUGAUGCUUAGGUGUGUCUUUGAAGGAAGCAUAUCAUCACAUGAUAAGGAAGUUGAGAGAAGGCCAUACCAUAAAAAAUGUGGUUGUGCAUUGCAUAACUUGGAUGAUAUUUGCAAAAAAGCAUGUCCUCAACAAAGAUAUGUUUGGUAUAAGAAGAGAAUAUCAUGGACUGCUUGUUCUGUUAAUGCUAUACCUUCCAAGUUCUCUUCCCCUCUUUCUAAUUCCAAAACUAGAUACCAAUAA